rnacentral:rRNA from 1 species
UACGGAGGGUGCGAGCGUUGUUCGGAUUUAUUGGGCGUAAAGGGCGUGCAGGCGGUUUUCUAAGUCUGAUGUGAAAGCCCCGGGCUUACCCCGGGAAGUGCAUUGGAAACUGGGAGACUUGAGUACGGGAGAGGGCAGCGGAAUUCCUGGUGUAGGGGUGAAAUCCGCAGAUAUCAGGAAGAACACCGGUGGCGAAGGCGGCUGCCUGGACCGAUACUGACGCUGAGACGCGAAAGCGUGGGGAGCAAACAGG